rnacentral:rRNA from 1 species
CCUACGGGGUGCAGCAGUGAGGAAUAUUGGUCAAUGGGCGCAAGCCUGAACCAGCCAAGUCGCGUGAGGGAUGACGGUCCUAUGGAUUGUAAACCUCUUUUAUAAGGGAGCAAAGUGCGCGACGUGUCGCGUUUUGAAUGUACCUGAUGAAUAAGGAUCGGCUAACUCCGUGCCAGCAGCCGCGGUAAUACGGAGGAUCCGAGCGUUAUCCGGAUUUAUUGGGUUUAAAGGGUGCGUAGGCGGCAAUUUAAGUCAGCGGUGAAAGUCGGUGGCUCAACCAUAGAAUGGCCGUUGAAACUGGUAGUCUUGAGUGAGUGUGAGGCAUGCGGAAUGCGUGGUGUAGCGGUGAAAUGCUUAGAUAUCACGCAGAACCCCGAUUGCGAAGGCAGCCUGCCGGGCCAUGACUGACGCUGAUGCACGAAAGCGUGGGUAUCAAACAGGAUUAGAUACCCUGGUAGUC